rnacentral:rRNA from 1 species
GGUUGACCUCGGAUCAGGUAGGGAUACCCGCUGAACUUAAGCAUAUCAAUAAGCGGAGGAAAAGAAACCAACCGGGAUUGCCUCAGUAACGGCGAGUGAAGCGGCAAGAGCUCAAAUUUGAAAUCUGGCCCCUUCGGGGUCCGAGUUGUAAUUUGCAGAGGAUGCUUCGGAUGCGGCCCCUGUCUAAGUGCCCUGGAACGGGCCGUCGGAGAGGGUGAGAAU